rnacentral:rRNA from 1 species
GAUGAACGCUAGCGGGAGGCCUAACACAUGCAAGCCGAGCGGUAUUGUUUCUUCGGAAAUGAGAGAGCGGCGUACGGGUGCGGAACACGUGUGCAACCUGCCUUUAUCUGGGGGAUAGCCUUUCGAAAGGAAGAUUAAUACUCCAUAACAUAUUGAACGGCAUCGUUUAAUAUUGAAAGCUCCGGCGGAUAGAGAUGGGCACGCGCAAGAUUAGCUAGUUGGUGAGGUAACGGCUCACCAAGGCGAUGAUCUUUAGGGGGCCUGAGAGUGUGAUCCCCCAGACUGGUACUGAGACACGGACCAGACUCCUGCGGGAGGCAGCAGUGAGGAAUAUUGGUCAAUGGGUGCAAGCCUGACCCAGCCAUCCCGCGUGAAGGACGACUGCCCUAUGGGUUGUAAACUUCUUUUGUAUAGGGAUAAACCUACCCUCGUGAGGGUAGCUGAAGGUACUAUACGAAUAAGCACCGGCUAACUCCGUGCCAGCAGCCGCGGUAACAC